rnacentral:rRNA from 1 species
UACGUAGGGGGCAACGUCGUUCCGGAAUCAUUGGGCGUAAAGAGCGCGUAGGCGGUCCGGUAAGUCCGCUGUGAAAGUCAAGGGCUCAACCCUUGAAUGCCGGUGGAUACUGUCGGGCUAGAGUCCGGAAGAGGCGAGUGGAAUUCCUGGUGUAGCGGUGAAAUGCGCAGAUAUCAGGAGGAACACCAAUGGCGAAGGCAGCUCGCUGGGACGGUACUGACGCUGAGGCGCGAAAGCGUGGGGAGCAAACAGG